rnacentral:rRNA from 1 species
AGGACGAACGCUGGCGGCGUGCUUAACACAUGCAAGUCGAGCGGAAAGGCCCUUCGGGGUACUCGAGCGGCGAACGGGUGAGUAACACGUGAGCAACCUGCCCUCAGCUCUGGGAUAGCUCCGGGAAAACCGGAAUUAAUACCGGAUAUGACCCUGACUGACAUCGGUCAGGGUGGAAAGGAUUCCGGCUGAGGAUGGACUCGCGGCCUAUCAGCUAGUUGGUGGAGUAACGGCCCACCAAGGCGACGACGGGUAGCCGGCCUGAGAGGGCGACCGGCCACACUGGGACUGAGACACGGCCCAGACUCCUGCGGGAGGCAGCAGUGGGGAAUAUUGCGCAAUGGGCGAAAGCCUGACGCAGCGACGCCGCGUGGGGAUGAAUGCCUUCGGGUUGUAACCCCUUUCAGCAGGACGAAGCGAGAGUGACGGUACCUGCAGAAGAAGCGCCGGCUAACUACGCGCCAGCAGCCGCGGUAA